CCUACGGGAGGCAGCAGUGGGGAAUAUUGCACAAUGGGGGAAACCCUGAUGCAGCGACGCCGCGUGAAGGAAGACGUAUCUCGGAGUGUAAACCUCUAUCAGCAGGGGAGAAAAUGACGGUACCUGAAUAAGAAGCCACGGCUAACGACGUGCCAGCAGCCGCGGUAAUACGUAGGGGGCAAGCGUUAUCCGGAUUUACUGGGUGUAAAGGGGGCGUAGGCGGUUUAGCAAGUCAGGAGUGAACGCCCGGGGCUCAACCCCGGGACUGCUUUUGAAACUGUGGGACUAGAGUGCAGGAGCGGUAGGUGGAAUGCCUGGUGUAGCGGUGAAAUGCGUAGAUAUCA
rnacentral:rRNA from 1 species